rnacentral:rRNA from 1 species
UCGGGAAUUUUGGGCAAUGGGCGAAAGCCUGACCCAGCAACGCCGCGUGAGGGAUGAAGUAUUUCGGUAUGUAAACCUCGAAAGAAUGGGAAGAAUAAAUGACGGUACCAUUUAUAAGCUCCGGCUAACUACGUGCCAGCAGCCGCGGUAAUACGUAGGGAGCAAGCGCUGUUCGGAUUUACUGGGCGUAAAGGGCGCGUAGGCGGCGCGGUAAGUCACUUGUGAAAUCUCUGAGCUUAACUCAGAACGGCCAAGUGAUACUGCUGUGCUAGAGUGCGGAAGAGGCAACCCGAAUUCUUGGUGUCGCGGUGAAAUGCGUAGAUAUCAAGAGGAACACCUGAGGCGAAGGCGGGUUGCUGGGCCGACACUGACGCUGAUGCGCGAAAGCCAGGGGAGCAAACG